rnacentral:rRNA from 1 species
CACGUAGGCGGAUUGGAAAGUCAGAGGUGAAAUUCCAGGGCUCAACCUUGGAACUGCCUUUGAAACUCCCAGUCUUGAGGUCGAGAGAGGUGAGUGGAAUUCCGAGUGUAGAGGUGAAAUUCGUAGAUAUUCGGAGGAACACCAGUGGCGAAGGCGGCUCACUGGCUCGAUACUGACGCUGAGGUGCGAAAGCGUGGGAGCAAACA